CCUACGGGGGGCAGCAGUGGGGAAUAUUGCGCAAUUGGCGAAAGCCUGACGCAGCGACGCCGCGUGAGGGAUGAAGGCCUUCGGAUCGUAAACCUCUGUUAGCAGGGAAGAACGGUCACUGUGCUAAUCAGCAGUGAAUUGACGGUACCUGCAAAGGAAGCAUCGGCUAACUCCGUGCCAGCAGCUGCGGUAAUACGGAGGGUGCGUGCGUUAAUCGGAUUUACUGGGCGUAAAGCGCGCGUAGGCGGUAUGUCAAGUCAAGGGUGAAAUCCCCGGGCUCUACGAGGGAACUGCCUUUGAAACUGGCAAACUUGAGUGUGCGAGAGGAUAGUGGAAUUCGAGGUGUAGGGGUGAAAUCCGUAGAUAUCAGGAAGAACCUCAGUGGCGAAGGCGACUAUCUGGAACAUAACUGACGCUGAGGAGCGAAAGCGUGGGUAGCAAACAGGAUUAGAUACCCGAGUAGUC
rnacentral:rRNA from 1 species